rnacentral:rRNA from 1 species
UGGAGAGUUUGAUCCUGGCUCAGGACGAACGCUGGCGGCGUGCUUAACACAUGCAAGUCGAGCGGUAAGGCCCUUCGGGGUACACGAGCGGCGAACGGGUGAGUAACACGUGGGUGAUCUGCCUCGUACUCUGGGAUAAGCCUGGGAAACUGGGUCUAAUACCGGAUAUGACCACGAAUCGCAUGGUUUGUGGUGGAAAGAUUUAUCGGUGCGAGAUGGGCCCGCGGCCUAUCAGCUUGUUGGUGGGGUAAUGGCCUACCAAGGCGACGACGGGUAGCCGACCUGAGAGGGUGACCGGCCACACUGGGACUGAGACACGGCCCAGACUCCUACGGGAGGCAGCAGUGGGGAAUAUUGCACAAUGGGCGAAAGCCUGAUGCAGCGACGCCGCGUGAGGGAUGACGGCCUUCGGGUUGUAAACCUCUUUCGACAGGGACGAAGCGCAAGUGACGGUACCUGUAGAAGAAGCACCGGCCAACUACGUGCCAGCAGCCGCGGUA